ACUACGGGUGGCAGCAGUGAGGAAUAUUGGUCAAUGGACGAGAGUCUGAACCAGCCAAGUAGCGUGCAGGAUGACGGCCCUAUGGGUUGUAAACUUCUUUUAUAUGGGAGUAAAAUGUUCCACGUGUGUGAUUUUGUAUGUACCAUAUAAAUAAGGAUCGGCUAACUCCGUGCCAGCAGCCGCGGUAAUACGGAGGAUCCGAGCGUUAUCCGGAUUUAUUGGGUUUAAAGGGAGCGUAGGGGGUUCGGUAAGUUAGAGGUGAAAGUUUGUGGCUCAACCGUGAAACUGCAGUGGAUACUGGCGGGCUUGAGUAUAGUAGAGGUAGGCGGAAUGCGUGGUGUAGCGGUGAAAUGCAUAGAGAUCAUGCAGAACUCCGAUUGCGAAGGCAGCUUACUAGACUGCGACUGACAUUGAGGCUCGAAAGUGUGGGUAGCAAACAGGAUUAGAUACCCCUGUAGUC
rnacentral:rRNA from 1 species